AAAGAUCGAUACCGAGGGGGGCUGACGCCCCGGAGAAUCCACUGCUCACGCAGGCAGCCUGUACCGCGUACAGUCUGAAACUCCCUAUACCUCAACAAACUGCCACUCCGGCGUGAAGGUAUCGUUCU
rnacentral:sRNA from 28 species